UUCUCAGGUAGGUUUUCUUUUUGUCCAUCUAUUCCUCUGUUCCUCCCUCUUUUCUUUAGACAUCCUUCUAGCCUUUUUAUUUGGGGAUGGCCGAACUGAGCGAACUUGAUCCCAACAACUAUAGUUCUGUGUUGAAUCCAGAUGAUUUGAGCUAGAUAUGGAUUUGAUACGGAAUCCUCUUGAUUUUGAUCUCGAACUCUUCAAAACAAGUGAGCGUGUAGAUAACCUG
rnacentral:lncRNA from 1 species